rnacentral:tRNA from 1 species
AGCUUUAUAUUCAACAAUGAUUCUAGAUUGCAAAUUUAGAGGUAAAGGCAAACUUUUAAGGCUU